UAAGACACUCACUCUUACACACACACAAAUACACACACAUACGAACACACAAACAGGAGAUUGUUUUUGUCCUUUGGUUAACUGACAACUCGGGCCAACCAAUCAAAGAAAACACACAGGUUAACCAAUUAUCUUCAGGAAUGUGUUGGCAUACAAAACCGCAGGCAUUUAUUUACUGAUCUUCGUCUACUGCAGAUGUCAAUCUAUCGUUUUUGUUCAUCUAUAGUUUGGAAGGAAACAUUAUAUUGAAAAUAUUUUUGAAUGGCUCUGAUCCACAGUGGUUGAUGGAUGAUAAUGGACUCCACUGUGUUUCUCUGACAAGCUAAUCAGGAGUCGUGCCGCCCUGGCUGACAGCACUACUGCUCUGGAUGACAGGGCCCCGCCCAUAGCAACCAAUCAGAUGCCGAGGCUCUGGAAACUGAGGAAAGUGACGCCUCCUAUUGGUUAAUGGCCGUGUCCAUCAACGUGUCGCUAGGGGCGCACCUUGGUCCAAGGGCAGGGCACCUGCCAUGCAAGGAUGCUGAGCGCCGCAGGUGCAGCCAAAUCAAGUGAUGAAAGAGAUGUAGGAGGAGAAAAUGAAAAGACGUGUUGGAGAGUGAGGACAGACAUCACAGACAGCUGCACAAACAAAUGACGAGAUGAAAUCGGCAGCUUCCUCCCUUAAGCUUGCAUUUUUACCAUGUUUUUUUGAAUUCUCAAAUAAGAGUUAUCACACACAUCCAAAUCAGCACUACAUUUCAUAAGGGGAGCACCUGUUAAAGCUAAAAUCCAUGUAUUGUUACUCUCCAUACUGUAAAUCUGGUUUUACAGUAUAUAUGAAUAAGUAUUUUUUUAAAUAUAUAAUCCAUAUUUCCACAUAAUGUAUUAUGCAAAUGUUAAGUGAGGGUGCUUUAAAAAUAAUUCCAUGAAUAUUUUUUUACUUUCUACACAGUAAAUAGGAAAUCAGAAAAAAAAAAUCAAUAAUUGUUGUAACUACCCUUUAAAACAGCACCAGUUAACCGUGGUACAAUUAGCAGGUAAGUUUUCCCAAGCAUCUUGGAGAACUUGUAACUGUAAUCUUAUGUGGAUUAAGUCUGUCUCACUGUCUUCUGUCUCUUCAUGUAACCUCAGACUGACUCCAUGAUGUUGACCAGUCCUCUGUGGGGGCCAGACCAUCUGUUGCAGGACUCUUGUUAUUCCUCUCACUGACACUAGUUCUUUAUGACUGUGGCUGUAUGGGUCAUGCUGCAGAAGACACCUUCUUGAUGUUAUGCAUCCAUAGACCUAAAACUUUUGCACAGCAUGGUUAUUGGAGGCCCUAAUGGACAGCAUAUCUCUCAGGGUAAAAUACUUUAGCUUCAUUUCUACAGAGGCAGCUCUAGAAAAGGGGUGUUCUGAAUCAAAUCUAGCCAGAAAAGCUGAUCAGGCCUAUAAACUCAACAACUGAUGGAACGAGAGAAAUUACCAGACAGUAAGAGCUCCACCUGCUCUCUGAAGAAGCUGGUGGUCAAGGUGUAGAGGAUGGGGUUCAAGGCGCUGUUGAUGGGAAGGAUGAAGAUGACUACCCAGCUGGAGAUGGUCCCUAAAAGAAACCAAUGUUUUUAAGAAGUAUCUCCACCUCCAAGAGUGAGAGAAUCUUCACCAGAAAUAUAGGAAUCCAGCAGAGGGCAUCAGAGAACACUAUGAAGAAGAACCUGUUGGCCACAGCCACAUCUCUGUGCAGUCUGCUCCUCAAGUCUGUUGCAUUG